CCUACGGGUGGCAGCAGUGAGGAAUAUUGGUCAAUGGGCGCGAGCCUGAACCAGCCAAGUAGCGUGAAGGAUGACUGCCCUAUGGGUUGUAAACUUCUUUUAUAUGGGAAUAAAGUGCAGUAUGUAUACUUCUUUGCAUGUACCUUAUGAAUAAGGAUCGGCUAACUCCGUGCCAGCAGCCGCGGUAAUACGGAGGAUCCCAGCGUUAUCCGGAUUUAUUGGGGUUAAAGGGAGCGUAGGCGGGUUGUUAAGUCAGUUGUGAAAGUUUGCGGCUCAACCGUAAAAUUGCAGUUGAUACUGGAAGCCUUGAGUACAGUAGAGGUAGGCGGAAUUCGUGGUGUAGCGGUGAAAUGCUUAGAUAUCACGAAGAACUCCGAUCGCGAAGGCAGCCGGCCGGACUGUAACUGACGCUGAUGCUCGAAAGUGUGGGUAUCAAACAGGAUUAGAUACCCCUGUAGUC
rnacentral:rRNA from 1 species